ensembl:misc_RNA Metazoa_SRP Metazoan signal recognition particle RNA
GCUGGGCGUGGUGGUGCAUGCUUGUAGUCCCAGCUACUGGGGAGGCUGAGGCAGGAGGAUCGCUUGAGCCCAGGAGUUAGCGGCUAUAGUAAGCCGUGAUUGCACCAGUGCACUUCAGCCUGGGCAACAGAGUGAGACCCUGUUUCUU